AAACCAGAGCCAAUCUUGGGUGCAUCUCUGAGCCCUGGUUCCCUGCAAAGCUCUAGACAGCUAUCUGUCUGCAUCCAGAUCUGGGGAAGGAGAGGUCACCUCCUCCAGCACACAGAAGUGACACUAUAGAGGAGGGCUUCUCCCUUUCUUUUUUCUUUUAGAUUUUGUGUGCCCCUCAUCUGUUUUUCCCGAUAUCAUAUUUCUGUCUUUUUCUAAGAACAAGGCUUGUCACGUUUUAUAUGUGGAAAUGUAGUGACAUAGUACCUUCUGGGUGGGCACCAAAUGAGGCAUUUGAUUAUUUGACUCUAUAAUCUAUAGUCACCGCCAACAAGAAGUCAUCAGAGGAGAAAAUGGAACCAGGCUCUGAAACUGACACUGGCUGAAAGCAGAGUGACAAAGGGAGUGUGGAUGCCCAGCCAAAUGGAGGUUAUGGACAAGCAGAAGAUGAGACAGAGACUCCCAUUUUCCCACCCAGGUUCUUCACCCUGUGGACUGGGAGACACGCCAGCCUCCUUUUCCAUCUAAGAAAUUGCGGCAGCUGUGACUACUCAGGGCAGAAAUGUUUGGAUACAAGCUGGCAUGGAUCAUCCGGAAAGAUCUAGAGAGAUUCACCGCAACAGCAAGGAAAUGCCAGUUCCUUCCUUUCUUGUCUCUAGGUUCCUGUCUUGAGUUCCUGACAUAAAUUUACUCAAUGAUGGACUAUGAUGUGGAAGUGUAACCAAAAUAAACCCAUUCCUCCCCAAGUUACUUAAAGUUUU
rnacentral:lncRNA from 1 species